AACGGAGGAGGCAAGCGUUAUCCGGAAUGAUUGGGCGUAAAGCGUCCGCAGGUGGCAAUGUAAGUCUGCUGUUAAAGAGUCUAGCUCAACUAGAUAAAAGCAGUGGAAACUACAUAGCUAGAGUAAGGUAGGGGUAGAGGGAAUUCCUGGUGUAGCGGUGAAAUGCGUAGAGAUCAGGAAGAACACCGGUGGCGAAAGCGCUCUGCUGGACCUUAACUGACACUGAGGGACGAAAGCUAGGGGAGCGAAUGGG
rnacentral:rRNA from 1 species